rnacentral:lncRNA from 1 species
ACAAACAAGUCCAUCAUCACCUUUUUAUUCGUGUUUCGUCAUAAGUGAGACAAUGGAUUUCUUUUGCUUUAACUUGUCUCUUAAAGCUUGAAAAUAAGACAAAUCCUUAUUCUCUUUCUCUGGAUGCAGUGAACCUUGAUAGCUUCAUCGCCUCGUUAGAGUUCUUUCUCACAAAUGAGACAAAUUGGUUUUUGAACAGUGUGAGGAGAAGUAACAAAGCCAAAUUUCAAAUAUUCAAAAGAAUACUGUCAACACUUUUUCUUCGAUGAGUUCUGAGACAUAAUAACGGUAAAAGAUAUAACGUAACAGUCUUAAAAGAUAUUGAAGCAUGGAUGGAUAUAAACUUGCAAAUUUAGCUACUCCAGAACAUGAAAGAAAAUUUCGAGUGCGUAGUUUUAUUAAAUAAAACUACGUGUCCUUUACUAGAUAAAUACUCGCACUCUAAAUUUUAUUCCAUGCCCUGGAGUAAAAGAUGUCUUUGGAGUCUACUGGAAAGGAAAGAAAAAAGCCAAAAGCCUUCAAAAAAGAAACAAGCAAUUUUUAACCCCAUAACAGGGCAUCACAUAUAAUAAUCCAGCGUCCGGCAACAAUGCUCAACUGACUAGCUCAAACGAUACGUUAUUAAAACAGUUUAACAUAGUAAAAUACAUCUGUACUACCAAAUGUGAAGUAUGUCUAGUAAUCGAGCAUUUCAUUGGGUGCUCAAAGUUUAUUAAUUUUGUGGAGAUCCUAGAUCUUUGCAAGAGUAAUGUUUCAAUAUGGUGAUAAGCAAUUUGGCCUUUUAGAAGAGGAGUCCCGACUCAAUAAGUUUGGGAAUUGCAAUGGUAUUCAGAUAUUCCUACAGAAGUCUAUUGAAGUUAAGAGCAAAAUAAAAUAUACUUUGCAAACCAAAAUAUCGAGAAUAGAGAAGCACAUUAUCUUAACGAGUCUAGAAUAAUCUUCCACUAGUUUUCCAACGACAAAGGACAGACCGUAUAUCACGAAGUCCAACUUAUAAAUGGAAUUGAUAUAAAUGUGAUUGAGUGAGUGAUUUCUGCAUUAUAUAGAUCAAGAAAACUUAAGGACUCGAAUUAAUGAAAUAGUUAUCAUGGAGUGGGAGACGAAGCAGAGUUGACUUGCAAGAAUUUCGACGCAGUUCUCUAAUCCCCCUCCUUUUGUAGACUGCUGAGUAUGGGAAUUCAAAUUCCUGAAUACACACGUCCAAAGGUUUUGUGAAUCAAAAAGAAGUUGCAAGUCCACCUAUUUAGGCCUCCAAAAUGACCUACGUCAACAAUACUUAAAUCAAUCGAAACCACUACGUACAAAAGUAUACUAAUAACUGCCAACCCAAUAUUUUACCCCUUCUGAAGCAUUUAACUGUAAAGAAAUGUUAAGAUAAAUUAACAUACCGUUACCGUCUAUCAAGGUGGUUAUAUAUAGUCACCUUGCCGUCUAUGGUUUAAGUCUAUACCGUGGUAUAAAUUUUAGACCCACCACUUGUAAAUGGAUCAAGAAAAUGGUACACUCAUCUUUAAUUCUUCUAUAGAGCAAUAAAUAUACCAAAAUUUAGCAU